rnacentral:rRNA from 1 species
AUUGAACGCUGGCGGCAUGCUUUACACAUGCAAGUCGAACGGUAACAGGGUGCUUGCACCGCUGACGAGUGGCGAACGGGUGAGUAAUGCGUCGGAACGUGCCGAGUAGUGGGGGAUAACGCAACGAAAGUUGUGCUAAUACCGCAUACGUACUGAGGUAGAAAGUGGGGGACCUUCGGGCCUCACGCUAUUCGAGCGGCCGGCGUCUGAUUAGCUAGUAGGUGAGGUAAAGGCUCACCUAGGCGACGAUCAGUAGCGGGUCGGAGAGGAUGAUCCGCCACACGGGGACGGAGACACGGCCCAGACGCCGACGGGAGGCAGCAGUGGGGAAUUUUGGACAAUGGGCGAAAGCCUGAUCCAGCCAUGCCGCGUGUCUGAAGAAGGCCUUCGGGUUGUAAAGGACUUUUGUCAGGGAGGAAAUCCCUAGUGCUAAUAACACUGGGGGAUGACAGUACCUGAAGAAUAAGCACCGGCUAACUACGUGCCAGCAGCCGCCGUAA